rnacentral:lncRNA from 1 species
UUAUUUCAGUCUUCUUUCUUUUCCCUCCUUCCAAACCCUAAAAUUAUUUGACUUCCCUCCCAUCCACAGUUACGCAAGCGACGGUUUUGCAAGCGAUGAACAAGAUUUGCUUCUUUCAACAGAUUGACAUCAGAUGAAGAAAUCAAAAGUUUUAAUUUGGCUUCUUGAAGUAUUAUUUGCAUUCAGGAAUAUCCCUAAAUCAUAUGAUUUCUGAAUCUCUUGUAGGAUUUCAUUACUGAUUUCAUUACUGCAGAGGAAUUGUCUAGAGAUCACAGGGAUGCCUUCAUGAACACUUGUUUAUUUGGGCAGAGGAUAUGGUUGGAAGUAAGAAUGUUUACCAACAUUCUUGUAUUAUGUAGGAAGUCACACUUGUAGAGCUUGAUGGAGACAGAGAUUACCACAUGCCUGUUGAACUUGGAGGUAGUGGUGGAAUGGUAUGCUUAAAAUAUAUUUCCGUGUCUCUGUGUUAUGCAUUAUGUUUCGCUAGGCAAUUAUUUUAUUUAUCAAGUUACUAAUUUUAUAAGGCUUUAUUUCAACUAAUUUACAUGUUGAAGUUGAGAAAAACUAGUUGCUGGAAAUGCGCUAAAGGAUUGAAGAUGGUCAUUAUAGAAAAAAAGCCGAGCUUGAAACUAUGCGAAAAGAGUUUGCCAGCCAGCGACACAACUUGGAAGCUAUGAUGCGGAAGGUUAUGAAACAAGUAGUUGGAGAUCGAGAUGAGUAGAAUGUUUUCAAUUUUUUAUUAUUGUAAUUGACUGUAGAGUUAUUUAAGUUUCGACAAACAUGUUGAAGUGCACACUUUGAUUAUCAAUGAUAUCUUUGUUAUUAU